GAAAUGCGAUAAGUAAUGUGAAUUGCAGAAUUCCGUGAAUCAUUAAAUCUUUGAACGCACAUUGCGCCCUCUGGUAUUCCUAAGGGCAUGCCUGUUCGAGAAUCAGUUUAAUCAUCAAAUUUAUAGGGUAAAAGCUAUAUAUUUGGACUUGAGACUUCUGGAUACAGAGACUCUAAUAACAUUUGUUGCCUGUCUAUACAAUGGGUAGAUGAAAGGCAUGACCAUUGAACCUCGGUUCUUGUAUUGCUCGUAAGCUACUUCAAAGUAUUCUCAGUGCACAUUAAAUUUUACGAAGCCUAACAGCUUUAAGACUUGAUCUCGAAUCAGACAAGACUACCCGCUGAACUUAA
rnacentral:misc_RNA from 1 species